AGGGGCGUAGCACAACUGGCAGUGCGCCCGCCUCCAAAGCGGGAGGUUGCAGGUUCGAGUCCUGCCGCCCCUG
rnacentral:tRNA from 1 species